CCCGAAAGAAGCCAACACAACAUGUAAAUCAACUAUAUUUCUGUGAAAAAAAAAAUAGGAAGCGAAUGCUGUGUAUUCCUCUCAGCGUUGACUACGCAGUCAGGUUAAUGAAACUUUGGGCAUUUUGUAGUUUUACAUGCAUAUCACCUCAGAAUCCACCCCGAAGAAAGGCACAGAUAAACAUCUUGUCUGAUGUCAUUUGCUGCAAUGUCUAUUCAAGGUUCCUGUCGUAUACAAAAGCCUUCCGUGACCGUUCCAUUUACACUUCUCCUAGGACUUGUGAGAGUCGGAGCUGGUCUGCUGGCAAUGAACUUCUCGGCUGCUCCUGUUGGUCACUGUGGCUCUUUUGCUCCUGUGGAUAGAUCCCCAGCCUGCAGAUGCUGAAAACCAGACUGGAUUUGUCGCUCAGAGCACACCUCCCUCCUCCCACGCACGUGGUCUCCACCGCACAUGUGCGGGUACAGAUGGGAACCGUCUCUGCAAACAAACUGAAGAUGAUUCAAGAGUCAUUCUAAUGAGCAGUGAAUGUGGCCUGAUUACUGCAUUCGCAAAAAACCCUAUUUUUUUUUCCCCCCAACAUUGCAAAGCUUGGCCCAGGGCUUCCUCAUAGGCUUACAAAUUUGCUGAAGUCUUCUUAGAGUCUUUCCUGAAGUCUAAGUGUGAUGAGAGCAGAGGUACCUCCGUUUCAUCACUGCAUCCUGGGCACCUAGUGGACCUGGCAAGGUGCAGCCCUAUGAGAACUCGGAGGAGUGCUGUCUGCCUCUGCUUCAUUAAUUCCGGAGAGACCUUCUCUGCUAGAAUGUUCCAAGGUAACUCCUCAUUCAGGUUUGAGGGAUUUGCUCCCUAUAAAAAGACUUACCAAAAUCCUCCCUCCUUUUCCUCAGCAGUGAGAUACUGCGAUCAAACUGGCCUAGAGUUUGAAUUAGCCACUCCAAAUUCAAUCCUAAUAGAUACCUAGAAAAUUUGCUUUUCUUUCUUUCCUUUUUCUUCUUUUUUCUUUUUCUUUUUCUUUUUUUAAAACAGCAGGACCUGUGGUAUAUAGAAGUCCCCGGGCUAAGGGGCAAAUCAGAUCUUCAGCUGCUGGCCUACACCACAGCCACAGCAAUGCCAGAUCCUUAACCCACUCAGGGAGGCCAGGGAUUGAACCCACAUCCUCAAAGACACUAUGUUGGGUUCUUAACUCCCUGAAUCACAAUGGGAACUCCUGAUUUAUUUUGUUUCUAAUAUCUCAGUCCCUGGAAAUCUUCUCUUAUGAGGGGCACCUUCCAGCCCCUUCUGAGGCAGGGAGGGUUGGGAGAAGCAAAGGGGCCCGAGGGGCAUGUCCUGUACUGGCGUCGCUUCCCAACCAUAGACCUUUUCCUGGCACUGCCCUUCGCCUUCCUGGGGAUUUGGCACAUCCUCUCUUCCCUGUUAAUAUUGACAAAAAGUAUUACAAACCUCUAAGUGCUAAUCGCCAGAUGAGGCAUGUAGACAGUUAGGGCUCUCGAAUAUCCCUUAGGGACGGCCCACAGUAUAAGCUCGAAAUAAGCUGGUUCACCAUCUCCCAGGCCUCUGCCCACCUCGCCGCCCACACCUGCCCUCCCAGGUCCCCGUCCUGUCCCUCAUCUAUUUAUUUAGCAGCGUGUCUUGAGGCUCUUCCAUGUGCCAGGCACGGGGCAUGGCAAUGAACCAGACCAGAAGCUCUGGCCAAAUAUUUCUUCCACUGGGUUUACUCACCCCAAGAGCCCCCGUUCUUGUUACAGUGUGAAUUCUAUGAGGACUUAACAAUUUUCCCUUUUCAUUUGAUAGCCAUCUAAAAAAUUAACAUAAAAGCCACAUCCUUAACCCCCCGAGUGAGGCCAGGGCUCGAACCCUCACCCUCACAGUGACAACCUCAGGUACUUAUCCCACUGAGCCACAACAGGAACUCCACCUUAAAGCCAUUCUACUGCAGGAUCUUGAUGUCUGGGUUUACACUUGUAUCAUUGAGCACGUUAGAGCCAGGGAUGCUUCAGCUGUUGGUCAACUUUUGGAGCACUGUCCCUCAGGCUGGGGGUCCGGGGACAUAUCCUUGAGCUCUGAUGGUGUCCUUUUCCUCUAAACGGGUUUCGCAUAUUUCUCAGGUUUAACAAGCACUGGUCUAGUAGCAGCACCAGAACGAUUGCCUGUAGCCAUGAGGCUCUUCCCCAACUUGGGUCACGCAGGUCUCACGGGAGGCAGGAGAAACGGUGCCCUGAAGAGGUCCCGCCCCAAUGCCUGUGAAUGUGCUACGUCACACGUAGAGAGAGCUGGUCUUUUGGGGAGAUCCUCCUGCGUUACCUGGUGUGCCCGAUGUGAUCCAGUGGAUCCUUCAAAGUAGAAGAGGUAUAUACACCCCAGAGAGUUAAAAACAGGUACUCCCACAACUACGGGUCCAUGUGUGGUCACACCUGCCCUGGUCACAAUCGUCAAAAGGUAGUCAUAGCCAGUGUCCGGGAACAGAUGCCUGGAUGAACAAAAUGCAGUGUAUAUACGCAGUGAAAUAUUAUCCAGACAUAGAAAGGCAUGAAGUACUUAUACUUAGUACGACACCAAGGAACCUCUAAAACAUUAUCCUAGAUGAAGGAAGCCAGACGCCGAGGUCACACGUUGUAUGGUUUCAUGCAUAUGAAAUAUCCAGCACAGGUGCAUCCAGUGAGACAGAAAGCAGGUUGGUGUUGCCACGGGCUUGGGGGCAAGGGGAAUGGGGAAUAACCGCUCAAUGGGUGAAGGUCCUACUUGGGAGUUGUUCUAACUGAAAAAAAAAUAAAAUCACCAAUGAUUAGCAAUGAGUUUUACCUUCCUUCUUUAUAUAGUGCAAGGCCAGUUUUAAAUGCAAAUAUAAGAGCAUUCAACCCAUAUGAGGAAUUAUCAAAAUUACACAGUUUGUAUUUAUAGCCGACAUCUUCAAGGUCAAGGGAAAGAUGAUGAAGACUUUCCAGCAGUGACAGGAAGGCAUUGAACCACGCCGGGGGCCUUCUGAGUGUUGGGUCUCAGGAGGGUGCUCAGGUCGCACACCUUGAAGCUGCUCCUGAGCACACUGCCUGCCCUUUGCUGAAUCACGCCCCCAUCUCCUUGACAACACUCCUUGCAUCUCUAAGAUAAAUUCCAUGCACUUGAAUCCUUGUCUUAGGUUGCUUUAGGGUUGGGGGUGGGGCAGGAAUCCAGACUCUGGCCCCCUCACUGUAUCCAUAGUUCAAAGGAGAGGAGUAGGAAAAGCUUGGAGACGCGAGCCGUGUGCUGUGGGAGAGGCUGUGGCUUGGGGUGGUGCAGAGUCUCCCUGGAGAAGUGGGGGUUGAGCCGCAUCUUAGAGGGUGUGCUAGCUGGGAGACAGUCCGGCAGGGGUGGGGAUUCUGUGCUGGGACUGGCCAAUGCGAUUAGUGACACAGGGACAGCCUUUGGAGCUACUCCAAACCACAUUUCAAAGGCUCUCGUGCACGUGAUCACACGUGAGUCUCAGCAAAACCCAUUAGGCAGAAAGGGUAGAGGAAUGAAGACAUCUCAACUAUCCGGAACCCAAGGGCCUAGUGGAUUCUUCACUGGAACCCAGUUCUUUUGCUCCUGGAGCCCCUGGGGAUCUCACCACGCCACGCAGCUCCGGAAGAUCGGAAGAUGGGGGCCAUGAAGCUUAGUCAGAGGAGUCCGUGGUCCUGAGGUCACAGGCGUGUGGGGAGACAUGCGGUGUCCCUCUCUUGUUCUGUAUAAAAGGCACAGGGAAUUUAAUAGAGAGACCCGAGGUCCUGGAUUCCGUACACAUCCGAAAUGAUUUCUGUAGGAGAAGCAGCCCCACCUUUGGACAUGUUGGCUGAGAGCAUCUGUUCUGGAACCGUGACCUGAACACACGUGGGAGCUGUCUGCCUUUACUUAAGAUUCUGAUUUUGCAAGGAGGGCCCGGCUAGGAACUUAUCUUGGGGUUAGAGGUGAGGAAGGGGUUUCAAAAGAGAUAAAGAAGUCAGAUUUCAGGGUCGCGGCGGUCAGCGCCCCCGGGCUCGCCGGCGGCAGUCCUGGAGGAAGGCUGUUCAAUAGACUGUGAGUUUCCUCUUGGAAGAGUCUCAGCUUUUCCUCCAACACCCAGAAGAGAGGACCAAAAUAUGUUGUAAGUUACUUGGUUCCAAAACGUCCUCUCUUUUUAUUUUUCUAACUUCUGUAAAAAUAAAAUAACUUUGACAUGACAGUCACUUGUGAAAAUACAAGUCAAUGAAAUGGAAUUUCGAAACUCUAAGUGAAGCAAAUGUUUGGAUUAUCUUGUUUCAAUUAAGAUGCCGUGCGUUUUGCCUUUUAAGAAGGAGGAUUCUGUCAUGUUCUCUGUUUAAAUGUACUGCACCCAGAGGUUAACUUUUGAACCAGCAGAAAAUGGGAGGAAACGGGAAAGUACUAGAAGUAAAACGGGAGGGGGAGGGGAGCCACGUAGCAGACGAAGCAGAGAUUUUUGAGUCAGAGAGGUCUGAGUUUGAAUCCCGGUUCUGUGCUCGCUAGCUGUGUGACGCUGGGUAACUUACUGAACCUCUCUGAGCCUCGGUUUCCUCAUCAAGAGAAUGCAUGCAAUUAUCCUGCAGCUUUGGUUUUGGGGAAUGAUGGAAUGGGAUAACGUCUGUGGUUUGGCCUGGUGCAGAGGAGGCCCUCAUGUAAAUAUUGAAUGAAUAAAUAAUAACUCUUGAAAAUAUUAUUUCUGACUAUCUGUGGAGCACUCCCUGAUUUUCAAUGUACCCUUGAGAGUCCACGGAUACCUAGGAUGUGUCAUUCUGUUGUGACCCCUAGACUUAGUUUUCCGAACAAUUGACUUCAACUCCUUUGGGUAGGCUGGCCCUUAGCACAGGAGUUGAGAGCCCUUCUUCCUUCCUCCCCACUUCCUUCUUUCCCGCCCUCCUUUCCUUCCCUCAUUCCUUCUGUUUAUUAAAAUUCAGUUAUCUUCCAUGCCUUGGCUUGGGAGUAAAGGCUUUGAGGUCAGUCAGACGUGGUCUUGCCUCUGAGAAGUUCAGAGUUUUGUGGGAGAGACACAGGGGAGGAAGCCCCAGACUGUGGGUGGCGUGGGGCGGGGAGAGGAGCAGGCUUCCCCAGAAGGGAUGGGGGCCACUCCAGGGAGGGGGCGUAAGGGCUGAAGGGCCUGAGGAUGCCAGGGGACCAGUGAGGGGGUUCGGGUGGCCGAGCACGGCCGACAGAGCCCCGGGGAGGUGAGGACUCAGGGGCCAGAAGGGACCAGACAGCCACAGACAUUGCAGGCCCUUAGAAGGUGUGUAGACUUCACUCCAUCAGCCACAGAGAGCGAGAGCAGGGCAUAAAAAUGGCCAAAGGCACAUGCUAGAGUCCAUCAGGGCCCAGACUUGAGGGGGUGGUGAUAUCAGCGAGAGGGGUCAAGAGCCUGUUUUAAUUUUUUUAUUAUUAUUUAUUUAUUUAUUAUUCUUUUAGGGCUGCACCCAUGGCCUAUGGAAGUUCCCUGGCCAGGGGUCGAAUUGGAGCUGCAGCUGCCAGCCUACA